rnacentral:rRNA from 1 species
UACGGAGGGUGCAAGCAUUAAUCGGAUUUAUUGGGCGUAAAGGGCGCGUAGGCGGAUUUGUAAGUCAGGUGUGAAAUUCCGAAGCUCAACUUCGGAGCUGCAUUUGAAACUGCGAGUCUAAGAGGGAUGGCGGAGAAAAUGGAAUUCCACGUGUAGCGGUGAAAUGCGUAGAUAUGUGGAAGAACACCGGUGGCGAAAGCGAUUUUCUAGCUAUUACCUGACGCUGAGGCGCGAGAGCAAGGGGAGCAAACAGG